rnacentral:lncRNA from 1 species
AACUUUGUAAUGAUUCUUGUACGAAUGUAUACAAAGUGUUUAUCUCGUUUAAUUUUGAAAGCGGUUUAGAAAAAUAUAACCUGGCAAUGAUUCUAGUACGAAUGUAUACCAAGUGGUGAUUUUCUAGUAUUUGCAAAGUGUGAGGUAUGAAAAAUGUUUUAGGUUGUGAGCCAGCAAUUAAGAGUUAUACCCACCCAAG